rnacentral:misc_RNA from 1 species
AACUGGCAACGUGUGCCACAUUCAAAUCUGAACGGAACCCGGGUCAGCUUCUACAGAGUGCCGUAAGAAGAAAAACGAAAAAACGUGGUGUAACGCGCGAACAGAAAUUUAUCCCGCGCUUCGUGAUAGCUUUGAAAGUAUCUCGUCCGUAAUAAGAAUAAGAAAAUAUUCAUUCUAUCAUUAAUUUUGGAUGUAUGACUUUUGUUUUCACAUUCGUACGACCGUUCAUACUCGUGUGUUGUAGAGUGCAGUAACUCAAAAAAAAAAAAAAAUGGUGGCGCGUCUAUUCGUUCUUCCAUUCGUCAUCUUCCGUUUCGUCGUUUAGUCGUUUGUUUGUAUAUUUCUACGUACGCAACACGCGAGUGUUAUAUGUAUGUAAUUUAUGAGAGCGAAAGUGAGAAUACAGGAUUGUUGUAUUAGUGAAUGCAACAACGAGAGCACCACGAUAGACGUACAACGUGGUGAAUAAAUACAUUCACGAUCUCUCCAAGAGAUUCUAUCGAAUUGUUCUUACCUCCUAAAGCUUCUAUAUCUUUCCCCCUUCUCUAUCUCUUCUUUUACUGUCUUUCUCCCUUCUCUCUUGCCCCCUCUUUAUCUUUCACAACUCCCCUCUGCCCAUUCUUUCUUUUUUUUUUAUUUGAAAUUAAUUUUGUUAGAAUCUCGUUCCUUUUUCCUUUAUUUCUUUUGUGCGCGCGCGUACAAAUUUCGCGGCUCAACGUAUACCGGCAGUUAAUGUAAAUGUCACGAAUAAUAAGCAAAACUUGUGCCUUAGCCGUGGCAAAAAGGUGUCGCUCAAAGGGACAAAAUUAUGUGUAUGGACGUUCAGAGUAACGAGAAGAAGGAGAAGAUGACCGACAGGAUCGUCGAUGAGGAGGUGCAGAUAGUAGAAGCCCGCGUUACCAGAGUUUUUUGUUUCAGUUUUCAAGAUGCCUAAAACUAAUGCAGAGAAGUGUAAGGAAUAUCGUAAAAGAAAAAUGUUAAUUAAAGAAAUGUCUUCAACACAAACAAAAAAAGUUUCAGUACAAACAAAUGCAGAACGUUGUAAGGCAUAUAGGCUGCGAAGAAAAAUGGUUGAAGAAGAGCACCAAUUGUCUGUGAAUGUAAUUUCAUGUACUCCAUCUACUUCAAAUUUACUAAUGACUUCUGGACCAUCGCCUCAGCCUGUGAUUACCGCUACAAAAAUUGGUUUCGAUAAAGUUGUCGUUAAACAAGAACGUCCAGAUGAAGCGGAGAUCCGAGAAUUGGCUGCCAAAAUGGUGGAAGCGAACAAGGCGAAAAUGGUUUCGGCGGCGACGGCGGCAGGGGCAGGGGGAGGAGGGUCAGCACAGCAAAGAGGAGCAGCAGGGAGUCAGUGUUUAUCUUCUACACAAGGAAAUCUUCCUGGUAUCCUCGGAUAUUUAAACAAACGUCCGGCUGACUCGACUGUGGCCAAGACGACAGGUUCAAACAAUUCAACAGGGGAAGGUAAAAUUCCUUUGGACGAUGAAAGUCAAAGGGGUAGAUUUGGAUGGACCAGUUUCGACGAGUGUCACAUACCUUACAUAUUCCGUGCCGGUGAAAAAUAUUGCGCGGUACGAAUCCUAGAGUCUAAGCUCCUGAACAAGUACCUGAGUUAUCUGCACUCGGAUAUCUAUAGUUGUACGUGCAUAAGAAGUUACUAUAUUACGGAUGCCGAGAGUAGGCUUUUCAACGAGAUUAAUAUGAAGCAUUGCGAUAGUCUAUUUGGAAGGGAUCAGUUUUCAUGCAAGGAUCUUGUAGUGAGGUUAUCCGACGCUAAAGAAUUCUAUACGUUUUUGGACGUUUGUUAUACCAAGUUAACAGCCGGCGCAAGUCCAAACGUAUCUAGCAGGCAUAAGGCUGAGAAGUGUGGUUUCAUACGGAUUAAUAAGGAAUCAGUGGUUCCAUAUACAGUGAAGGACGGUCUUCAAUAUGUACCCUUAUUUUAUUUCGAGGGGGAAACGGAGAAUUUGAAAUUGAAAGCAGAAAAACUUGAAGGUUGGGACCUUUCGUAUUUGAAGUUUUGCUGCAAGGUACAGGGUAUAAGAAACGAAUUGUUCGCAAGUGAGACAUGCUCCGUGAUCAGUUUGAGUGAUAUUAAGAGUUAUUUUCCUCCCGACACGGGCUUCGAAGAUUAUUGGCCGAACAAAGUGAUGGAUUCUCAGUUGUUAGUGAGUAGCAAGGGUGGCGGGGGUGGUGGUGGAUGGACCAGACAACCUCCUACGCCACCAGUGUCAAAAACAUCCUCUGUACAAAAUAAUACGAGUAAGGCGAGCCUUAAUACGCGUGCGGGCCCUUUACAGACAAUAUUACCACGUGGAACUAGUGCUACGAGUGCUCAACAAACUCAGCGUGUUAGUCAACCAAGGCAAGCUUCUGCUGUGACCCAUCCUGCGCAUUCGUCACCGUCACCACUUCCUACGGGGAGAUCGAGCAUCGCUUCGCAACCGAUGUUGAACGUCGUACAAGGCGUUGUCAAUGGAUGGUCGGGACUCGUUGGCGGUCAACCGGCUUUUCAAACAGCUCUGGUCUCUCAGGCUAGUUCCCUUAUACGUACGCCACCUCCGUUAAGUAUGCACAAUGUAUCUGCGCCAAGUAAAACCUAUACCACUCAUCAAUUAAGGAGUAGAGGGGGUGGUGGCGGAGCAACAGCUCAGUACCCUGGAGUUUAUCCAGUUACUACUAUGCAAGCCGUAGCUCAGGCCCAACCACCCCCUCUCGUUAGAGCAACGGCGCACACUAGUCAACCUAAUCUUGGUUAUCCGACUUAUGGGAAGGAUGACUGGGUAACUACGACAUAUACGACACCUUCGUUGGGUGUUCCUGAUGGAGUCACGGCCAGAACAUAUCCUCAAAUGAUUGGCUUAAGUGAACAGGUACAAGCCCUUAUGCCAGCUCCUACAACAGCGUCGACAUUAUUAUCACGUCAGCAAAGGCAUACACCACCAGUACACAAUACAUCCCAUACAAAAUAUCCACCACCUUUAAUACCAGUAAAUGGAGGGACACGAGAGGAAGGAAAGCUUUGAUAAAUAUCGCGGAACCGUCAAUAUCGAAUUGCCAAGCGCAACCAUACCAAGUUCAAAAGGCAUUAAUAGAAGACAAAAUGGUACCUUGUAUCAACUUUAAACCAUACAUCUACUCAGAAUUAUUGAUGACGCUUCCAGAUUUUGUGUCUAAUUAUUUUCCUGCUUGUGACAUUAACAGUUGUAGACAAGUUCUUACGGAUGUCUUAAAUAUAGAUCUAUAUCAAGGGAAUAGACUGCAAAUGAAAAUGUUGAUGGAUGCAGGCAAAUGUUCUUCUCUAAACGAAGAAUUACCGCUAAUUCAAGUAGGAAAUAUUAUGAAGUACAUGCCUCAGUUUAAGUACAUGUUUAACAGAGAUGAUAUGGUAAUGCCUGCACCACCAGCACACUCUUCUGAAGAGCACCAACCGAAAAAACGACAACGCACUAGCUAGGACUGGCUACAGCCUUACUGGCCUAUGUACGAUUAUUAUCAUCCGGCGUUUUAAAUAAAGCCGACAAAAGAGGGAAGAACAAAGAAGAAGAAAAAAAUGAGACGCGUAAAAAAAGAAAAAAGAAAAAAUUC